GGUUGUUUAAGUUAUUAAAUUAUUAUAAACUAUUUAAUCUAUAAAAAUUGUCAUAAAUUUUAUUCUUACUUAGUUGUUUGUUUAGGGUUUUUAGGGUUUGUUUUCAGUGUCUGGUGUUUUGUUUUUUUCAUUUUUAAUUAUUGUUCAAUGUUGUUAUACAUUAGGGACGACAUCAAAAGUUCAAUGUAGGAUAAAAAUCUUAAUUCACAUAGUUUUUUCACUGACCCCCACCCCCCUCUUAACUUAAUUUGGAAAAAAUUGAUUUACCUAUAUGGAUAUAUGUGAAAUCGAUUUUAAAUUAACAAAACUUGCAGCAAUGUUAACCCCCACCCCC
rnacentral:lncRNA from 1 species